rnacentral:rRNA from 1 species
GAGUAAUGUCUGGGAAACUGCCUGAUGGAGGGGGAUAACUACUGGAAACGGUGGCUAAUACCGCAUAACGUCGCAAGACCAAAGAGGGGGACCUUCGGGCCUCUUGCCAUCAGAUGUGCCCAGAUGGGAUUAGCUUGUUGGUGAGGUAACGGCUCACCAAGGCGACGAUCCCUAGCUGGUCUGAGAGGAUGACCAGCCACACUGGAACUGAGACACGGUCCAGACUCCUACGGGAGGCAGCAGUGGGGAAUAUUGCACAAUGGGCGCAAGCCUGAUGCAGCCAUGCCGCGUGUAUGAAGAAGGCCUUCGGGUUGUAAAGUACUUUCAGCGGGGAGGAAGGUGUUGUGGUUAAUAACCGCAGCAAUUGACGUUACCCGCAGAAGAAGCACCGGCUAACUCCGUGCCAGCAGCCGCGGUAAUACGGAGGGUGCAAGCGUUAAUCGGAAUUACUGGGCGUAAAGCGCACGCAGGCGGUCUGUCAAGUCGGAUGUGAAAUCCCCGGGCUCAACCUGGGAACUGCAUUCGAAACUGGCAGGCUUGAGUCUUGUAGAGGGGGGUAGAAUUCCAGGUGUAGCGGUGAAAUGCGUAGAGAUCUGGAGGAAUACCGGUGGCGAAGGCGGCCCCCUGGACAAAGACUGACGCUCAGGUGCGAAAGCGUGGGGAGCAAACAGGAUUAGAUACCCUGGUAGUCCACGCCGUAAACGAUGUCUACUUGGAGGUUGUGCCCUUGAGGCGUGGCUUCCGGAGCUAACGCGUUAAGUAGACCGCCUGGGGAGUACGGCCGCAAGGUUAAAACUCAAAUGAAUUGACGGGGGCCCGCACAAGCGGUGGAGCAUGUGGUUUAAUUCGAUGCAACGCGAAGAACCUUACCUGGUCUUGACAUCCACGGAAGAAUUCAGAGAUGGAUUUGUGCCUUCGGGAACCGUGAGACAGGUGCUGCAUGGCUGUCGUCAGCUCGUGUUGUGAAAUGUUGGGUUAAGUCCCGCAACGAGCGCAACCCUUAUCCUUUGUUGCCAGCGGUCCGGCCGGGAACUCAAAGGAGACUGCCAGUGAUAAACUGGAGGAAGGUGGGGAUGACGUCAAGUCAUCAUGGCCCUUACGACCAGGGCUACACACGUGCUACAAUGGCGCAUACAAAGAGAAGCGACCUCGCGAGAGCAAGCGGACCUCAUAAAGUGCGUCGUAGUCCGGAUUGGAGUCUGCAACUCGACUCCAUGAAGUCGGAAUCGCUAGUAAUCGUGGAUCAGAAUGCCACGGUGAAUACGUUCCCGGGCCUUGUACACACCGCCCGUCACACCAUGGGAGUGGGUUGCAAAAGAAGUAGGUAGCUUAACCUUCGGGAGGGCGCUUACCACUUUGUGAUUCAUGACUGGGGUGAAGUCGUAACAAGGUAACCGUAGGGGAACCUGCGGUUGGAUCACCUCCUUACCUUAAAGAA